UACGUAGGGUGCGAGCGUUAAUCGGAAUUACUGGGCGUAAAGCGUGCGCAGGCGGCUUUGUAAGACAGGUGUGAAAUCCCCGGGCUUGACCUGGGAACUGCGCUUGUGACUGCAAGGCUUGAGUGUGGCAGAGGGGGGUGGAAUUCCACGUGUAGCAGUGAAAUGCGUAGAGAUGUGGAGGAACACCGAUGGCGAAGGCAGCCCCCUGGGUCAACACUGACGCUCAUGCACGGAAGCGUGGGUAGCAAACAGG
rnacentral:rRNA from 1 species